rnacentral:rRNA from 1 species
GAUGAACGCUGGCGGCGUGCCUAAUACAUGCCAGUCGAGCGAACAGACGAGGAGCUUGCUCCUCUGACGUUAGCGGCGGACGGGUGAGUAACACGUGGAUAACCUACCUAUAAGACUGGGAUAACUUCGGGAAACCGGAGCUAAUACCGGAUAAUAUAUUGAACCGCAUGGUUCAAUAGUGAAAGACGGUUUUGCUGUCACUUAUAGAUGGAUCCGCGCCGCAUUAGCUAGUUGGUAAGGUAACGGCUUACCAAGGCAACGAUGCGUAGCCGACCUGAGAGGUGAUCGGCCACACUGGAACUGAGACACGGUCCAGACUCCUACGGGAGGCAGCAGUAGGGAAUCUUCCGCAAUGGGCGAAAGCCUGACGGAGCAACGCCGCGUGAGUGAUGAAGGUCUUCGGAUCGUAAAACUCUGUUAUUAGGGAAGAACAAAUGUGUAAGUAACUAUGCACGUCUUGACGGUACCUAAUCAGAAAGCCACGGCUAACUACGUG